rnacentral:siRNA from 1 species
GCAAAAACCCAUACCUGUCUUCCC